UUCACUCUUGAAAACUGCCCAGCACU
rnacentral:piRNA from 1 species